UGAAGAAAUCGCCAGAAGCAGAGAGUCAGGAGGACAUGGUGACGACAUGACAAACUGCACUGGGACCUUGGUGCCAUUUCCUUCCACCCUCUGUGGGCCCCUGCAGGGCCCAGCUGGUUCCCCUGAAGACCUGCCCUUCAGCCCCUUUCUCUUCUCUUUCAGCAGAAGAGAGGACCCCAGGCCUCCCUGUGGGGACCGUCGCUGGCAUCGUGACUGGGGUCCUGGUCGGGGUGGCUCUGGUGGCUGCUCUGGGGUGUUUCCUGCUCCACACAAGAAAUGGAAGGGCCAGCGUCCAGCUUGGCCUCAGAGACCACCGCACCCCAGCAUCAAGACCCGGCCAAGGUCCCUCUGACACUUCCACCUCCCUGGCCCCACCCCCUGGCCACAGAGCUGCUGUCCCCAUCUACCAGGAAUUACUAAACCCUGACCUGGACAUCUACUGCCGGGUCGACCACAAGGCUGAUGUGGAUUCUUAGUUUCCACCACACGAUGCUCCAUGUGGGCUGAGGGAGGGUCCUGCUAAACCCCAGAUGCUGGGUAAUGGGACAGAGGUGGAGCCUGACCCUAUAGGACUCUGGAGCCUACUGGGGGAGGGGUCCCUGGGGAUUCUAGAGACACAGGCUGCCCUGGCCUUUCAAUGGCCAGAACUAGGCUUCCUGUGCCCAGGAACAUGGCAUUCCAGGGAGAGGGAAGGGCCAGUACUGGUCACCUGGAAAGGCGCUGAAUAAAGACCCCCUUCCCUCC